rnacentral:tRNA from 1 species
UCGAACGUGGUGUAAUGGCUAGCAUUGCCGCCUCUCAUAAGGGUUUGUGCCGUCUCUUCUGCGGCAGCCCGGGGUUCGAUUUCCCGUGUCCGAA